AUUCCAAUCGAACGCGGAGAUAGCUGGUUCCCCCCGCAAUAGCUUUAGGGCUAGCCUUAAGAGUAAGAGUCCUGGAGGUAGAGCACUGAUUGAACUAGGGGUCCCCAUGGGAUUACUGAGUGCAGUAAAACUCCGAAUCCCCAUGUCGUAUCCUUAGGAGUCAGACUGCGUGUGAUAAGAUCCGUAGUCAAGAGGGAAACAGCCCAGAUCGCCAGCUAAGGUCGCAAAGUGUGUAUUAAGCGGAAAAGGACGUGGAGUUGCUUAGACAACUAGGAUGUUGGCUUAGAAGCAGCCACCAUUUAAAGAGUGCGUAAUAGCUCACUAGUCGAGUGACUCUGCGCCGAAAAUGUACCGGGGCUAAAUACACCACCGAAGCUGCGAAUUGAUACCAAUGGUAUCAGUGGUAGGGGAGCGUUCUAAGUGCAGUGAAGUCAGACCGGAAGGACUGGUGGAGCGCUUAGAAGUGAGAAUGCCGGUAUGAGUAGCGAAAGACGGGUGAGAAUCCCGUCCACCGAAUGCCUAAGGUUUCCUGAGGAAGGCUCGUCCGCUCAGGGUUAGUCAGGACCUAAGCCGAGGCCGACAGGCGUAGGCGAUGGACAACAGGUUGAUAUUCCUGUACCACCUCUUUAUCGUUUGAGCAAUGGAGGGACGCAGAAGGAUAGAAGAAGCGUGCGAUUGGUUGUGCACGUCCAAGCAGUUAGGCUGAUAAGUAGGCAAAUCCGCUUAUCGUGAAGGCUGAGCUGUGAUGGGGAAGCUCCUUAUGGAGCGAAGUCUUUGAUUCCCCGCUGCCAAGAAAAGCUUCUAGCGAGAUAAAAGGUGCCUGUACCGCAAACCGACACAGGUAGGCGAGGAGAGAAUCCUAAGGUGUGCGAGAGAACUCUGGUUAAGGAACUCGGCAAAAUGACCCCGUAACUUCGGGAGAAGGGGUGCUUUCUUAACGGAAAGCCGCAGUGAAUAGGCCCAAGCGACUGUUUAGCAAAAACACAGGUCUCUGCGAAGCCGUAAGGCGAAGUAUAGGGGCUGACACCUGCCCGGUGCUGGAAGGUUAAGGAGAGGGGUUAGCGUAAGCGAAGCUCUGAACUGAAGCCCCAGUAAACGGCGGCCGUAACUAUAACGGUCCUAAGGUAGCGAAAUUCCUUGUCGGGUAAGUUCCGACCCGCACGAAAGGUGUAACGAUUUGGGCACUGUCUCAACCAGAGACUCGGUGAAAUUAUAGUACCUGUGAAGAUGCAGGUUACCCGCGACAGGACGGAAAGACCCCGUGGAGCUUUACUGUAGCCUGAUAUUGAAUUUUGGUACAUUUUGUACAGGAUAGGCGGGAGCCAUUGAAACCGGAGCGCUAGCUUCGGUGGAGGCGCUGGUGGGAUACCGCCCUGAAUGUAUUGAAAUUCUAACCUACGGGUCUUAUCGACCCGGGAGACAGUGUCAGGUGGGCAGUUUGACUGGGGCGGUCGCCUCCUAAAGUGUAACGGAGGCGCCCAAAGGUUCCCUCAGAAUGGUUGGAAAUCAUUCGUAGAGUGCAAAGGCAUAAGGGAGCUUGACUGCGAGACCUACAAGUCGAGCAGGGACGAAAGUCGGGCUUAGUGAUCCGGUGGUUCCGCAUGGAAGGGCCAUCGCUCAACGGAUAAAAGCUACCCCGGGGAUAACAGGCUUAUCUCCCCCAAGAGUCCACAUCGACGGGGAGGUUUGGCACCUCGAUGUCGGCUCAUCGCAUCCUGGGGCUGUAGUCGGUCCCAAGGGUUGGGCUGUUCGCCCAUUAAAGCGGUACGCGAGCUGGGUUCAGAACGUCGUGAGACAGUUCGGUCCCUAUCCGUCGUGGGCGUAGGAAAUUUGAGAGGAGCUGUCCUUAGUACGAGAGGACCGGGAUGGACGCACCGCUGGUGUACCAGUUGUUCUGCCAAGGGCAUAGCUGGGUAGCUAUGUGCGGAAGGGAUAAGUGCUGAAAGCAUCUAAGCAUGAAGCCCCCCUCAAGAUGAGAUUUCCCAUAGCGUAAGCUAGUAAGAUCCCUGAAAGAUGAUCAGGUUGAUAGGUUCGAGGUGGAAGCAUGGUGACAUGUGGAGCUGACGAAUACUAAUAGAUCGAGGACUUAACCAU
rnacentral:rRNA from 1 species